rnacentral:lncRNA from 1 species
UGAUCAGCUGAUUCCAACUGACAACAAGAGAGGAGGAAGCCUGGGAGGCAGCAGAGGAGGAGGGGGCGGAGAUGGAACUGAGGAUGGAUCCACCGGGGCCCUAGAGCAGCCCAGGUAGCCCUUGAAACACUGGCCCGAGGUCCAAGUAGAUCGAACAGCUCCUCACCGCCUUCUUCCAUCACUAUGACUUGUAGCUGAGGCCCAAACCAAUGAGCCGACCUUUGUGAACCCAGCAGACCGCUCAGCGUGCACGUGCCGCAGAGGCUCUGUCACUUCCACCACAUCUUUCUUUGCACUUUGCAGAGGAUGAGACCAUCAUCAAACUCAGUCGACGCUGCUGCUGGUACAAGAGACUUGGAGGCAGACAAUUAAAAACUUGAACAUUUGUGAGUGUGUAAAAAUCC